CAAUAGCGUAUAUUAAAGUUGUUGCAGUUAAAAAGCUCGUAGUUGGAUUUGUGGCGUACGGUGUGUUCCGGGCACUUGUUGUCUGAGUAACCUGCUGUUGCCAUCCUUGGGUGGAACCUGUGUGGCAUUAGGUUGUCGUGCAGGGGAUGCCCAUCAUUUACUGUGAAAAAAUUAGAGUGUUCGAAGCAGGCUUAUGCCGUUGAAUAUAUUAGCAUGGAAUAAUGAGAUAGGACUUUUUUGCUAUUUUGUUGGUUUGCGCAAAGAGGUAAUGAUUAAUAGGGACAGUUGGGGGUAUUCGUAUUCCAUUGUCAGAGGUGAAAUUCUUGGAUUUUUGGAAGACGAACUACUGCGAAAGCAUUUACCAAGGAUGUUUUCAUUAA
rnacentral:rRNA from 1 species